rnacentral:rRNA from 1 species
CGUAGGGUGCGAGCGUUAUCCGGAAUUAUUGGGCGUAAAGAGCUCGUAGGCGGUUUGUCGCGUCUGUCGUGAAAGUCCGGGGCUUAACCCCGGAUCUGCGGUGGGUACGGGCAGACUAGAGUGCAGUAGGGGAGACUGGAAUUCCUGGUGUAGCGGUGGAAUGCGCAGAUAUCAGGAGGAACACCGAUGGCGAAGCAGUCUCUGGCCUGUACUGACGUCU